CGACGCUCUCAAUACUAACAAUGAGUGGUCAGAAAAGGAACUGCAAAUGAAAACCAGGAGGGAAAUAAUGGCUUUGGGGACACAGCUAGGUAAAAUGAAAAUUGCUGCCUGGGCCAGCAAGGAGGAGGAGGAUAAGGAUGCAUCCACGUCACUGAAAACUGUCCCAGCAGAACAACCAGCUAAAAGUGUGAUUGAAACACGUGCAGCAGCAUGGGAGGAGGCAGAGAAAGCCAAGUACAUGGCCAGGUUCAAACGUGAAGAAAUGAAGAUUGAAGCAUGGGAAAAUCAUCAGAAAGCAAAAACAGAGGCUGAGAUGAGAAAAAUUGAGGUGGAGGUUGAGAGGGUCAGGGGGCGGGCCCAAGAUAAGCUUAUGAACACACUAGCAGCAGCAAGACAUAGGGCUGAAGAGAAGAGAGCAGCAGCAGAAGCCAAGAGAAAUCGGCAAGCUGCAAAAACUGAGCGGCAAGCAGAAUACAUUCGAAGAACUGGUCGUAUACCUUCUUCAUUUUCCUUCUGUAGUUGGUGUUCUUGAAACGUCAAGCACUUGAGCACUUUGAAUUGAGCAGGCUUGUCAAGUUAGCAGAUUGCUUUGUUUCUAACCCAUCACGUGAAUCGUAAACCUAUUCUAUGUAAAAGCUUUUUUUUUGUUUUUUUGGUACAAUUGGCUCCGAUUGGCUGUCAAACUCGAGAUGUCAUAAUUUUGGAGGCAACUUUAGUACCAUUGAGUUAAGCUCAUUAAUUAUGUAAAAGCUUUUUGUGCUACUCAUCUAUAUACGCG
rnacentral:misc_RNA from 1 species